rnacentral:rRNA from 1 species
AAGAGAGUGCAAGAGAACGUGAAACCGGUGUAAUGGAAGCAGAUGGAGUUGACGUAUCUGGUGCGUAUUCAGUUGUUGGUCGUGGCGAUUGCUGUGCUUGUCGUUCCGCAAGGUCGGCGGUGUGGUAUUGUCGUUGUGGCUUGCGAUGCAUUUACGUACGGAGUGCGCCGAGUUGCGUGGCGGUGUCAAUCGAAGCGUUUUGAGAGGACAUGGCUUCGGCUGUGAAACCUUGGAGCGUGUAGGUUGGUUACUGCUGCGUAAUUUUGUGGAAGUGCGGGUUUUUCGCGAGUUUGGGCGUUGAUUUGGUCGGUUUGUGUUGUACGCAUGCGUGCGGCGCUUAUGGGCUAGGUCGGCGUUUGAGUUUGCUCUGCGCUCUUCUCGGUGUAUAGUCAAUGACCCACCUGACCCGUCUUGAAACACGGACCAAGGAGUUUAUGGUAUACGCGAGUCAUUGGGCUUCUAAACCCAAAGGCGUAAUGAAAGUGAGAUCUUAUUGGUUUUAAUGUGAUCGGUCGUUGUUUCGACGGCGGCCGAGCAACAUUGCCCCGUUUCGAGGACUUGUCCUGUUGCGGAGGUUGAGCGUAUGCUAUGAGACCCGAAAGAUGGUGAACUAUGCCUGAACAGGAUGAAGCCAGAGGAAACUCUGGUGGAAGUCCGAAGCGGUUCUGACGUGCAAAUCGAUCGUCUGAUUUUGGUAUAGGGGCGCAAGACUAAUCGAACCAUC